rnacentral:rRNA from 1 species
CCUACGGGAGGCUGCAGUGGGGAAUAUUGGGCAAUGGGCGCAAGCCUGACCCAGCAACGCCGCGUGAAGGAAGAAGGCUUUCGGGUUGUAAACUUCUUUUAAGCGGGAAGCGCAGAAGACGGUACCUCUUGAAUAAGCAACGGCUAACUACGUGCCAGCAGCCGCGGUAAUACGUAGGUGGCAAGCGUUGUCCGGAUUUACUGGGUGUAAAGGGCGUGCAGCCGGGAAGACAAGUCAGAUGUGAAAUCCCGCGGCUCAACCGCGGAACUGCAUUUGAAACUGUUUUUCUUGAGUACCGGAGAGGUCAUCGGAAUGCCUUGUGUAGCGGUGAAAUGCGUAGAUAUAAGGAAGAACACCAGUGGCGAAGGCAGAUGACUGGACGGCAACUGACGGUGAGGCGCGAAAGCGUGGGUAGCAAACAGGAUUAGAUACCCUUGUAGUC